AGAGUUUGAUCCUGGCUCAGAACUAACGCUCGUGGCGUGUCUUAGUCAUGUAAGUCGAACGAGAAAGCCCUCUUCGGAGGGUGAGUAGAGUGGCGGACGGGUGAGUAACACGUGGGUAACCUGCCUUCGAGUUGGGAAUAACAUCCCUAACGGGGUGCUAAUACCGAAUGAUGAGGCGUGACGCAAGUCAUCGCCCCCAAAGAUGGCCUCUGCAUGCAAGCUGUCGCUCGGAGAUGGGCCCGCGCCGUAUUAGCUAGUUGGUGGGGUAACGGCCUACCAAGGCGACGAUGCGUAGCCGGCCUGAGAGGGUGAACGGCACACUGGAACUGAGACAAGGCCCAGUCCCCUACGGGGGCCAGCAGUCUAGAAACUUGCACAAUCGACGAAAGUUGGAUGCAGCGACGCCACGUGGAGGAUGAAGCCCCUCGGGGUGUAAACUCCUGUCAGAAGGGAAGAAGGCGCGAGCGCUAAUACCGUUCGUUGCUUGACGGUACCUUCAGAGGAAGCUCCGGCUAACUACGUGCCAGCAGCCGCGGUAAUACGUAGGGAGCGAGCGUUGUUCGGAUUUACUGGGCGUAAAGGGCAGGUAGGCGGGUGUGUAAGUCGGCUGUGAAAUCCUCUGGCUCAACCAGAGAACCGCAGUCGAAACUACACACCUUGAGUUCAGCAGAGGGAAUCGGAAUCCUAGGUGUAGCGGUGAAAUGCGUAGAUAUCUAGGAGAACACCAGUGGCGAAGGCGGAUUCCUGGGCUGACACUGACGCUGAGCUGCGAAAGCGUGGGUAGCGAACAGGAUUAGAUACCCUGGUAGUCCACGCCGUAAACGAUGGGUACUAGGUGUUGGAGGACAUUGACCCCUUCAGUGCCGCAGCUAACGCAUUAAGUACCCCGCCUGGGGAGUACGGCCGCAAGGCUGAAACUCAAAGGAAUUGACGGGGACCCGCACAAGCAGUGGAGCAUGUGGCUCAAUUCGAAGCAACGCGAAGAACCUUACCUGGGCUUGACAUCUGGGGAGUCCUCUGGAAACAGAGGAGUGCCUUCGGGAACCCCAAGACAGGUGCUGCAUGGCUGUCGUCAGCUCGUGUCGUGAGAUGUUGGGUUAAGUCCCGCAACGAGCGCAACCCCUGUCCUUAGUUGCCGGCGGAUAAAGCCGGGAACUCUAAGGAGACUGCCUGUUAUAAGCAGAAGGAAGGUGGGGAUGACGUCAAGUCAUCAUGGCUCUUACGCCCAGGGCUGCACACGUGCUACAAUGGCCGGUACAAAGGGUUGCAAUACCGUGAGGUGGAGCCAAUCCCAGAAAACCGGUCUCAGUUCGGAUUGAAGUCUGCAACUCGACUUCAU
rnacentral:rRNA from 1 species